UACGGAGGGUGCGAGCGUUGUCCGGAAUCAUUGGGCGCAAAGGGCUCGUAGGCGGCCAACUAAGUCGGACGUGAAAUCCCCAGGCUCAACCUGGGAACUGCGUCCGAUACUGGAUGGCUUGAAUCCGGGAGAGGGAUGCAGAAUUCCAGGUGUAGCGGUGAAAUGCGUAGAUAUCUGGAGGAAUACCGGUGGCGAAGGCGGCAUCCUGGACCGGCAUUGACGCUGAGGAGCGAAAGCCAGGGGAGCAAACGGG
rnacentral:rRNA from 1 species